rnacentral:lncRNA from 1 species
UCCGGUGCAUUAGUGCUGGUAUGAUCGCACCUGUUUCAUUUUGUGCUGAAAAUACAUGCACUCCUUCUCCGUCCAUCCCCCCUCCCGUCAUUUGUUUCCUUGUGCGUGCACUCUGCAUCUCUGCUUCUCGUUCUAAUAUCAAGUAAAAUGCCCCGGCACCGUUACUCACCUUUGCGAAUGAACCAGUGGUUCAUAAUUCUAUUCGCGCGUAACGUCGAACAACCCAUUUGAAAAAAAAAAUAGGUGCAACACGAGGACUUCCCAGGAGGUCACCCAUAAGAGUACUAC